GCUACGGGAGGCAGCAGUGGGGAAUAUUGCACAAUGGGGGAAACCCUGAUGCAGCGACGCCGCGUGAGUGAAGAAGUAUCUCGGUAUGUACAGCUCUAUCAGCAGGGAAGAAAAUGACGGUACCUUACUGAUAAGCCCCGUCUAACUAAGUGCCAGCAGCCGCGAUAAUACGUCGGGGGGACGCGUUAUCCUGAUUUACUGUGUGGAAAGGGAGCGUAGACGGCGCUGCAAGUCCGGAGUGAAAGCCCAUGUCUUAACCAUGGGACUGAUCUGGAAACAGUGGAGCUGGAGUGCGGGAGGGGAAGGCGGAAUUCCUAGUGUAGCGGUGAAAU
rnacentral:rRNA from 1 species